rnacentral:pre_miRNA from 1 species
UCAUUUGGAGCCUGAUCCAAAGCCCAUUGCAAUCAAUGGGUUCCUUUCCAUUGACUUCACUGGGCUUUGGAUCAGGCCCCCUAGCA